rnacentral:rRNA from 1 species
AGUGAACGUUGGCGGCGUGGAUUAGGCAUGCAAGCCGAGCGAGAACCGUAGCAAUACGGGGACAGCGGCGAAAGGGACAGUAAUGUGUAGGUACCUACCCCCGGGCUCGGGAUAGCUGCGGGAAACUGCAGGUAAUACCGAAUAAUGUCUCAGAACCAAAGGUGUGAUUCCACCAGGGGAGGGGCCUGCAUCCUAGUAGCUUGUUGGUGGGGUAACGGCCUACCAAGGCGACGAUGGGGAGCGGGUGUGAGAGCAUGACCCACGUCAUUGGGACUGAGACACUGCCCAGACACCUACGGGUGGCUGCAGUCGAGAAUCUUCGGCAAUGGGCGAAAGCCUGACCGAGCGACGCCGCGUGCGGGAUGAAGGCCUUCGGGUUGUAAACCGCUGUCGUAGAGGAGGAAAUGCAAGGGGGUUCUCCCCUUUGCUUGACCUAUUCUAGGAGGAAGUACGGGCUAAGUUCGUGCCAGCCGCCGCGGUAAAAC